CACCGGAAGUGCGUCCAUACAGCUCCGUUUCACAGAUUUUUCAAGCUUCGUCAAAAAUUUCCACCGAACCAGCGACUCUUUCGGGCUGUAAUUCGACUUGAAGUGAGUUUUUGUGCAGAGAAUGUUCUGGAAUCCGGUUAAAGUGGAAGGAAAGACGUCGUUUCUGUGAAAGCUUCGCUAAACUUACGGCUUCCGGCGGGUAGUUUGAUGGUGGAAGUUGAUGUCGGUGUAACGACGAUUAGUGUGAAGCGACUGAACAUGUGCUGAGAUGCCUUCUUACAGCUUCCUGGAUAACUUGGAGCUUUUUAUGCGGACGGGAAAGUUUCCUGUAAACGCAUCAACGAGCUCAAAGAAAGUGACCAAAGCUGCAAGCAAACACUUCCUCUACAGAGAUGGCUCUCUGUGGCGAACUUAUCGAGGACGCCUCCUCCGUGUCGUCAGGAGCGAUGAGGAGGUUCGGGACAUCCUGCUGCAUUACCAUGACAACAACAACCACGCUGGCCGAGUUCGGAUGGUGAAGGAGAUCAUGCUCAUGUAUUACUGGGUCGGAGUGACGGAGGCCGUGAAGACGUGGAUCAAAGCCUGCACCAUCUGUCAGAACCGACCUCGCCCUGAACCUCUGGACCCACCCGUUCAUUUCUGCCUGGUUUACGGCUGUGAUGCCUCCAGUUACGUUCACCCCGAGCUCAGCUUCCACAGGUUUCCGAAGGAGGCGGAGAGACGGCGGAGGUGGCUGGCGGUGGCUCAGAGGGACGAAGGUUCGCUCAGACAAAACUCCUACAUCUGCUCACGACACUUUGACUCGUCCUGCUUCAACCUGAGCGACGAAGGUCAACGGACGCUUUCAUCAGACGCUGUACCGACCAUCGUAGCUGAAACUACUAAAGAGGACGAGGUGAUUGUCCCUUCAGAGGAUGAGUUUCUUCCCUCCAACACCCUGGAAGACCUUCUGUCCACAGCUGCUGCUGCAGAAACCCCAGAAUCCUCUGGUCCGGCCUUAGAAGCCCCAGUGGGGCUGCAGGAACACCAGUACUGCCUCCCAGCUCCUGAUCCAGACUCCAUGGAGGUCCAGACCGUGACGGAUCUCAAGAAGAGAAAGACCAUCGUGGAGCCAAACUUCUCCACUUACAACCAUAUUGCCAGGUAUCUGAGCCACCGGGUCUUACCUCUGCAGAGCAAGAGGAGCAGAGGGGCUUUAAAACGGAUGUCCAAGCGCUUUGGCCUGAUAGAAGGAGAGCUGAUGUACACCAGAGUAUCUCCACCUGUCAGAGUCCCACGUAGCAGAGAGGAGGUAAACUCGAUCCUGCAGCAGUUUCAUGAUAACCAGGGUCACUACGGUCAGGGAAUCUGCCAGCGAGAGAUCUCCAAACACUUCUACUGGGCCAGCAUGACUCGCGACUUAUCCACAUGGAUCUCCAGCUGCAACACCUGCCUCACCAGGAGCAAGAGGAAGUGGCUUCGCUGCAGUGUCAUCAGCUGCAGCAACCGCUGUGGGCCGGUGGAGCGAGGCCUUGGACUCACCUUCCACAGGUAGCACUCGGAGACUCACCUUCCACAGGUAGCACUCGGAGACUCUCCUUCCACAGGUAGCACUCGGAGACUCACCUUCCACAGGUAGCACUCGGAGACUCGCCUUCCACAGGUAGCACUCGGAGACUCUCCUUCCACAGGUAGCACUCGGAGACUCGUCUUCCACAGGUAGCACUCGGAGACUCUCCUUCCACAGGUAGCACUCGGAGACUCGUCUUCCACAGGUAGCACUCGGAGACUCACCUUCCACAGGUAGCACUCGGAGACUCUCCUUCCACAGGUAGCACUCGGAGACUCUCCUUCCACAGGUAGCACUCGGAGACUCUCCUUCCACAGGUAGCACUGGGAGACUCUCCUUCCACAGGUAGCACUCGGAGACUCGUCUUCCACAGGUAGCACUCGGAGACUCGCCUUCCACAGGUAGCACUCGGAGACUCUCCUUCCACAGGUAGCACUGGGAGACUCUCCUUCCACAGGUAGCACUGGGAGACUCUCCUUCCACAGGUAGCACUCGGAGACUCUCCUUCCACAGGUAGCACUCGGAGACUCUCCUUCCACAGGUAGCACUCGGAGACUCGCCUUCCACAGGUAGCACUCGGAGACUCUCCUUCCACAGGUAGCACUCGGAGACUCACCUUCCACAGGUAGCACUCGGAGACUCUCCUUCCACAGGUAGCACUCGGAGACUCACCUUCCACAGGUAGCACUCGGAGACUCUCCUUCCACAGGUAGCACUCGGAGACUCUCCUUCCACAGGUAGCACUCGGAGACUCUCCUUCCACAGGUAGCACUCGGAGACUCGUCUUCCACAGGUAGCACUCGGAGACUCGCCUUCCACAGGUAGCACUCGGAGACUCUCCUUCCACAGGUAGCACUGGGAGACUCUCCUUCCACAGGUAGCACUGGGAGACUCUCCUUCCACAGGUAGCACUCGGAGACUCGCCUUCCACAGGUAGCACUCGGAGACUCGCCUUCCACAGGUAGCACUCGGAGACUCGCCUUCCACAGGUAGCACUCGGAGACUCUCCUUCCACAGGUAGCACUGGGAGACUCUCCUUCCACAGGUAGCACUCGGAGACUCUCCUUCCACAGGUAGCACUCGGAGACUCUCCUUCCACAGGUAGCACUCGGAGACUCUCCUUCCACAGGUAGCACUCGGAGACUCUCCUUCCACAGGUAGCACUCGGAGACUCUCCUUCCACAGGUAGCACUGGGAGACUCUCCUUCCACAGGUAGCACUGGGAGACUCUCCUUCCACAGGUAGCACUCGGAGACUCGCCUUCCACAGGUAGCACUCGGAGACUCGCCUUCCACAGGUAGCACUCGGAGACUCUCCUUCCACAGGUAGCACUGGGAGACUCUCCUUCCACAGGUAGCACUGGGAGACUCUCCUUCCACAGGUAGCACUCGGAGACUCGCCUUCCACAGGUAGCACUCGGAGACUCGCCUUCCACAGGUAGCACUCGGAGACUCUCCUUCCACAGGUAGCACUGGGAGACUCUCCUUCCACAGGUAGCACUGGGAGACUCUCCUUCCACAGGUAGCACUCGGAGACUCUCCUUCCACAGGUAGCACUGGGAGACUCUCCUUCCACAGGUAGCACUGGGAGACUCUCCUUCCACAGGUAGCACUCGGAGACUCUCCUUCCACAGGUAGCACUCGGAGACUCUCCUUCCACAGGUAGCACUGGGAGACUCUCCUUCCACAGGUAGCACUCGGAGACUCUCCUUCCACAGGUAGCACUCGGAGACUCUCCUUCCACAGGUAGCACUGGGAGACUCUCCUUCCACAGGUAGCACUCGGAGACUCUCCUUCCACAGGUAGCACUCGGAGACUCUCCUUCCACAGGUAGCACUCGGAGACUCUCCUUCCACAGGUAGCACUCGGAGACUCUCCUUCCACAGGUAGCACUCGGAGACUCUCCUUCCACAGGUAGCACUCGGAGACUCUCCUUCCACAGGUAGCACUGGGAGACUCUCCUUCCACAGGUAGCACUGGGACCCGCUGAAUGAAAC